GAAUCAAAAUGGGAACGUUCUUGCUUGUCCCAGCACAGAGCGUUUGGUGGAGACCUUUGGGGUAUUUUAUUUUCCUCCUGAAUGCAAUGAAAGCAAGCAUGGAAAUGCCGGAGACCCGAGUGAAACACAAAUCUGGGUUUUGACUCGCUCCGUGCCAACAUCUGGAACGUGGAAGGCCCUACGAGCUGGAACUUGUUCUUGAAGGGCAGAGCACCUGGGAGAUCUGUGUGUAACUGGUCUACCUUCUGGCUCCUGCUGGGACAACCUCUGCUGUUUGUACCUGCAUCUUGCAACUUGUCACUUCCGUGAGAAACUCUCCUGGUGGCAGGUGCUUCUGUGUCUCUGCGUAAAGGAGCUGAACCAGUGCUGCAGGAGUGACCUGUGGAUGUUAUGGCUCAGCAUGAGACCUGUAUACCUGCUGACAGCCACAUGGUGUGGGCUCAGCACUGUGGCCUGCAGAAAUUGUCUGGAUGACUUAUGAGAACGCGUCCAGCCUCACAGCUAAGGAACGUUAGCAAUGUCUUGCCUGCUCUGUCAUCAUGUGGAUCAUGCACAUCUUUCUGCUCGGUGGCCUGCCUUCACAGUGGAGGGUUGUUACCCUAUGCUGUCCAUGAGCACAGCCCUUUAGGGAGAUGGAAGCUGCAUUUACGAAUUCUCCCAGGCAGAAGAGAGAAGUGAACCUGGAUCCCCCCAUUUCAUGGUUGAGUACUCCGAACGCUUGAAAAUGCUUUAAACUCUAGGCAUCCUAAAAACAACAACAACAACAAAAAAAAGGAAAGUGAUUCUGAAUCUGAUUCUGAAAGACAGGGGGUGAGUUGUGGGUCCCAAGUGAACGGCAGCAGCAAUCUGCAGGCCUUUGUCACAAGAUGCAUUUCAGACUCCCUCCUGUGCUCAGCAUUCCCUGCAGACCAGCCAGAGGCAGCUGCACCACGUGCGUGCUGAAUCCAGGCCACUCUCCUUGCUGGCCAUUACGGGUCCAUCCCACCACAUGCUUUGCCGCAGCACCAUGACUUCUCCUUACGGCAGCCCAAAGAAGGAAGCCCCUGCUCCCCGGGAUGCACACUGUGCAGCAUGGCCCUUUCCAAGAGGGUUUGUGUUGUGCUGAGCCUCGGCUGACCCUGCCACAUGGGAAGGAGCCACGGCCCCUCGUAGGCUGUCUGAUCCGCUGACACCGAUUCCUCUGAGCAUCACAGGGCUGUCUGCUCCACAUUUGAUAUCACUGAAAUAAACAGUAUUGCUUGAGAAGCAGUAUAUGUGAUAAAGGUUUUUAAAAAAAUGUAAAUACAAAGAGGAGUGACCUUUAUUUUGAACUUCCUUUUUUUUUCUUGAAGUGGGGGACAGGGACUUGAGUUUGUCCAAGACAACAGCAAUAACUUUUUUCUUAGAGACUGGUUGCAGUGCUGCAGAAUUUAAGCUUUUUAGUCCUUGAGUGAUGAAGACUUGAUGAAGUGUUGGGUCUGCAGACAAGCUGGAAAAAUAGCUUCUGCAGCCAAAUACAGGCUUCUUCAGCCUCAACAGGCACUCCCUUAAGUGGAGGGGAACCACCUUUUUCUUUG